rnacentral:tRNA from 1 species
AGAGAGAUAGCUAAAGAAGAAGUAUUGCAUUUACGAUGUAGUGAUGCCUGUUUAAUCCAGGCUCUCUUUAGA